rnacentral:rRNA from 1 species
UACAGAGGGUGCAAGCGUUGUUCGGAAUUACUGGGCGUAAAGCGCGUGUAGGCGGUUUAGCAAGUCCUGUGUGAAAGCCCUGGGCUCAACCCAGGAAGUGCGCAGGAUACUGUUGAACUGGAGUAACGGAGAGGAUGGCGGAAUUCCCGGUGUAGAGGUGAAAUUCGUAGAUAUCGGGAGGAACACCUGUGGCGAAGGCGGCCAUCUGGACGUUCACUGACGCUGAGACGCGAAAGCAUGGGGAGCAAACAGG